UACGAAGGGGGCUAGCGUUGCUCGGAAUCACUGGGCGUAAAGCGCACGUAGGCGGCUCUUUAAGUCAGGGGUGAAAUCCCGGAGCUCAACUCCGGAACUGCCUUUGAUACUGCGGAUCUUGAGUUCGAGAGAGGUGAGUGGAACUGCGAGUGUAGAGGUGAAAUUCGUAGAUAUUCGCAAGAACACCAGUGGCGAAGGCGGCUCACUGGCUCGAUACUGACGCUGAGGUGCGAAAGCGUGGGGAGCAAACAGG
rnacentral:rRNA from 1 species